rnacentral:rRNA from 1 species
UACGUAGGGGGCAAGCGUUGUCCGGAUUUAUUGGGCGUAAAGAGCGUGUAGGCGGCCAGGUAGGUCCGUUGUGAAAACUCGAGGCUCAACCUCGAGACGCCGAUGGAAACCAUCUGGCUAGAGUCCGGAAGAGGAGAGUGGAAUUCCCGGUGUAGCGGUGGAAUGCGUAGAGAUCCGGAAGAACACCGGUGGCGAAGGCGGUUAGCUGGGCAGUUGCUGACACUGAGGCGCGACAGCGUGGGGAGCAAACAGG